GAUUUUAAAAUUUAUAUACACUAACUAUGAACAUGGAAGUUACAUUGCGCAAAACAAGCUCAUCUUCAGCUAAUGAGGUAUAUAGACAAAGAAAAAAUCUACAAAGACAAAAGAAACGUAAACGAAAUGCAAGUGAUUUGAAUUGUUCAUUGCUACAUGAAUUGAAAAAUGUGCUUGAUUGCAUUCAUUGUGGUGCAAGAAGAUUUGAAUAUGAACCUCCUACUUUUUGUUGUGAUAAUGGAAAAGUUAAACUUGCAUUUUCUGAAGUUCCUCCGGAGUUGGAUGAAUUGUUUACAACCCAGUCAGAAGAAGCUAUUAAUUUCACAAGGAAUAUUCGUGCUUAUAAUAGUAUAUUCUCAUUUA